CUCCUAUUUUCAGUUGGUUUUGGCAGCGCGAGGACUAGGGUAAUGAUUAAUAGGGAUAGUUGGGGGCAUUAAUAUUUAAUUGUCAGAGGUGAAAUUCUUGGAUUUAUGAAAGAUUAACUUCUGCGAAAGCAUCUGCCAAGGAUGUUUUCAUUAAUCAAGAACGAAAGUUAGGGGAUCGAAGACGAUCAGAUACCGUCGUAGUCUUAACCAUAAACGAUGCCGACCAGCGAUUAGGAGACGUUGAAUACAAAACACCACCAUCGGUUGCGGUCGUCCUUGGCGUCUCGGUUUCGGCCGGGGCGCGGGGAUGGCUUAGCCCGGUGGCACCGGUGAAUGACUCCCCUAGCAGCUUGUGAGAA
rnacentral:rRNA from 1 species